GACGAACGCUGGCGGCGUGCUUAACACAUGCAAGUCGAACGGAAAGGCCCUGCUUGCAGGGUACUCGAGUGGCGAACGGGUGAGUAACACGUGGGUGAUCUGCCCUGCACUUCGGGAUAAGCCUGGGGAACUGGGUCUAAUACCGGAUAGGAGCCAUUUUUAGUGUGAUGGUUGGAAAGUUUUUUCGGUGUAGGAUGAGCUCGCGGCCUAUCAGCUUGUUGGUGGGGUAAUGGCCUACCAAGGCGGCGACGGGUAGCCGGCCUGAGAGGGUGGACGGCCACACUGGGACUGAGAUACGGCCCAGACUCCUACGGGAGGCAGCAGUGGGGAAUAUUGCACAAUGGGCGCAAGCCUGAUGCAGCGACGCCGCGUGGGGGAUGACGGCCUUCGGGUUGUAAACUCCUUUCGCUAGGGACGAAGCUUUUGUGACGGUACCUAGAUAAGAAGCACCGGCUAACUACGUG
rnacentral:rRNA from 1 species